UAUCUUGACAUUUAUUAAAUAUUGCUAUACAAUGACUAGGUGUACUUUGAUACGCUAUGGCAAUAAAAUUACCUUAUAAUAAGUGUAUUGGACCCGAGGGCAGUGCUCGGCGCCUCCACCAUAUUUUUAAUUUACAUGGGGGCGAAUUAAGAGUAGACAUACAUAGUAAAGAUGGUAACUUUGCUCGGUUAGAUACCACCGCUAAGAGUUCAUAAUUUAAAUGCAAACGAUAAUUUUGCUGCUGAAAACGAUGUUGCGGUAGCUGCUUAAUUUAAGCACUAUAACUGCAUUGCUAUAAGCACGGUUUAGGGAACGCCGGGUAACAGAAGUUUCCCAAA
rnacentral:tmRNA from 1 species